UACGUAGGGUGCAAGCGUUGUCCGGAAUUAUUGGGCGUAAAGAGCUCGUAGGCGGUUUGUCGCGUCUGCUGUGAAAACCCGAGGCUCAACCUCGGGCCUGCAGUGGGUACGGGCAGACUAGAGUGCGGUAGGGGAGAUUGGAAUUCCUGGUGUAGCGGUGAAAUGCGCAGAUAUCGGGAGGAACACCAGUGGCGAAGGCGGCACUCUGGGCCAGUACUGACACUGAGGAGCGAAAGCGUGGGGAGCGAACAGG
rnacentral:rRNA from 1 species